rnacentral:rRNA from 1 species
AGUAUCAUUAAGUGAAUACAUAGCUUAAUGAGGGGAACUCAGGGAACUGAAACAUCUAAGUACCUGAAGGAAGAGAAAGAAAUUCGAUUCCGUAAGUAGCGGCGAGCGAACGCGGAUUAGCCCAAACUAAUAAAGUUUUCUUUAUUGGGGUUGCGGACAUAUCAUAACGAAGAGGUAUCGUAAUUGAAGAGGUUUGGAAAGACCCACCACAGAAGGUAAUAGUCCUGGAUGUUAAACGAGAAGACUUUAGAUAUGAUCCAGAGUACCACGGGACACGUGAAACCCUGUGGGAAGCAGGAGGGACCACCCUCCAAGGCUAAAUACUACCUAGUGACCGAUAGCGUAUAGUACCGUGAGGGAAAGGUGAAAAGAACCCCG